rnacentral:lncRNA from 1 species
AGCAACUACGGCUCUCGGGGAGGCUGCUCAGACCGCCGAGUCCACAGCAGCUACAACCGUGGUGUUCUUGAUUUUAUUCUGCAGAGUGAGCUCUCCACGUUUGCUUUCUGGAGGACCCAGGUGACCGCUCACCUCCCCUUCCUCCUGGAGCCCUGAAGUCGGAGGCCCUGAGCCAUGGACGGUAUCUGAGGAUCGGUUUAGCGUAUCUGGCCGGAGAAAUUGGCAACAUUUGCUACGAAUAAAACCCAAGCGUUUCCAGCAGCCAUUUUGAAUUAAGUUUCCCACCCGACAAGCCCUCGUCCCCUCCACUGCACAUCCAGGAUCCGGUGGAGGAGAAAGGCGCCGGGCGGAGAGUU